UUAAUUGGAAUAUUUCUCAUGUCAUAUCUUUGAACUAAUUAAGUCCUGAACCAUAUAGGCUCUCUCACAAGCACAACAAUAGGCUUAUAUAUCGUAUGCAUGCGUUCAUUUCAGUGGGCAGAGUUUGUAGCUUCCUUUCUAAAGGAAGCAGAAUGGUUGCACAGCGAACGCAUUCCGACCUACGAAGAAUACAUGCAAUGCGCCAAGGACACUAUUGGAACGAAAAUGGUAACAGGGACAUCUGCAUUCUUUCUGGGAGAGAAGAUCACAGAUGAGAUGCUCCGCCACAUUGGUCCUGACUCACGCUUCAUGCACCUCGUUUCCGUCGUAUGCCGACUUUCCAAUGAUCUUGCCUCCUCUUCGAGGGAGCUCGAGGAGGGAAAGGUGGCCACAGGGGUUGGCUGCUACAUGAGGGACCACCCAGGCUGCACGCAGGUGGAAGCCAUGGUAGGUCUCACCAGUGUGAUUGAGUUGGCCUGUCAGGAACUGGAGUGGGAGCUCUAUCGAUCAAGAGCAGUAGCGCCGGAGUUCUGUAGCCGUGCAGUCCUGGGUAAUGCUCGAGGUGCCCGUCUUCUUUACAGAAGGGUGGAUGGCUAUACCAAUCCUGACGAAGAACUCAUGAAACUCUCCCAAGAUUUUAUGUUUAACCCACUUGAAUGAAGGCUGAUUGAGCUAGCAGCGAAGCAAUGAAUUCAACGGUCUGCACACUGGUCAUCUAUCUGUCUGUUUCCCUCUCGCACCGUCUACAAAACAAUUUGAACUUGUAAGCAAAUUAAUUUGUGCCUUAUGUUAGCAUAAUUUUAGAAACUAUGUAACAAUCUGCAUCACCCAUAAUAUUUUUUUCUAUUAGCAUAAUCACAUAUCGAUCUAUAUUAUUUUUCUUAUAUGGAGUAUGUAUACUAGUAUAUAUAACUCCUGAGAUGUAUUGAAUAUGAUGGAACAGAGAAAUAAAAUUAUCUUUUUUCUUUUAUUUUUCUCUUCUUCUGUAAAUAUUUUAACAUAGUAAAUAUUUUUCUCUUAUUUCCUCUUGAUAUAUCAAUCUACAAUAUCGGUUUUUGAGUUAUUAUGUCAACUCCUAACCUGCUACAUAUGCUUCUAAGCUACUAUUACAGUUCUUAAUCUACCACGUCUAAAGCUGCAAAUAGAUCAGCUCGACUCGUGACCCGACACAACCCAAUCCAAUCAGACCCAACUCGAUCCGAUCCGUUUUAGAGGAUCCAUGGGUCCAGAUUUGGUCCUAAAAUUAGACCUGUUCUGCUCUUUGGAUCGGAUCUCGGACAAUCUAAUCUCAACCUGACCCGGACUCGGCCUGAUCCGAUUUUUUUUUUUUGGAUCAAUUUGGAUCGUUUACCCAACGACCCCAUCCAUACCCAACCCGAACCUGGAAUACCCAAUCUCUCUCUCUCUCUCUCUCUCUCUGUGUGUCUCUCUCUGUCUGUCUGUGAUCCCAAUGCACUUGUCCAGCCUCAGCUCCCUCAGCCUACCGGCGGCCGAAACAGUGCCACCUCCCAGUCCCCGAUGUCGAAGCGGUGCGAGAGGUCCACCACCUCCAACUAUGGGCACGCCACCACCAGCGCCUCCAGCCCCCGCCACCCGAUCCCCAUGGCCCCGGCAAGGCACAUUGCUUUCAACCCCUGGCGACCACCAGCGGUGUGGAGGAGGCGUCAUCGAGGGCAGAGCAGGCGGAGAGGUCUAGGGAUUCGAGAGCAGAGCAGGAGUGCAAGAGGGAAGGGAGGGACUCCCGGCGGAGGACGCGGAGGGCGCGGCGGUGGAGCGCCUCCACGCGGAGGAAACUGCGGGAGACGAGGCGUAAAGACUUCCGGUCUCCGGAGUCCGGCAGCCGGUCCAUGAUCUGGACCAAGAGGUCCACGGAUAGUACGGCCAGGAUCGAAUUAGGGGGCUUUUCUUUUCCUUCUCUUUCUUCUCUAUUUCUUUUCUUCUCUUCCCCUUUCUCCAGAAACUUCUCUUCCUCCCUUUCCCCACUUCUG
rnacentral:lncRNA from 1 species